rnacentral:rRNA from 1 species
UACGGAGGGUGCGAGCGUUAAUCGGAAUUACUGGGCGUAAAGCGCGCGUAGGUGGUUAUUUAAGUUGGGUGUGAAAGCCCCGGGCUCAACCUGGGAUGGUCAUUCAAAACUGGAUAACUAGAGUACGUAAGAGGGUAGUGGAAUUUCCAGUGUAGCGGUGAAAUGCGUAGAUAUUGGAAGGAACACCAGUGGCGAAGGCGACUACCUGGUACGAUACUGACACUGAGGUGCGAAAGCGUGGGUAGCGAACAGG